UAGGGAAUCUUCGGCAAUGGACGACAGUCUGACCGAGCAACGCCGCGUGAGUGAAGAAGGUUUUCGGAUCGUAAAACUCUGUUGUUAGAGAAGAACAAGGACGUUAGUAACUGAACGUCCCCUGACGGUAUCUAACCAGAAAGCCACGGCUAACUACGUGCCAGCAGCCGCGGUAAUACGUAGGUGGCAAGCGUUGUCCGGAUUUAUUGGGCGUAAAGCGAGCGCAGGCGGUUUCUUAAGUCUGAUGUGAAAGCCCCCGGCUCAACCGGGGAGGGUCAGUGGAAACUGGGAGAAUUGAGUGCAGAAGAGGAGAGUGGAAUUCCAUGUGUAGCGGUGAAAUGCGUAGAUAUAUGGAGGAACACCAGGGGCGAAGGCGGCUCUCUGGUCUGUAACUGACGCUGAGGCUCGAAAGCGUGGGGAGCAAACAGG
rnacentral:rRNA from 1 species